rnacentral:rRNA from 1 species
AUUGAACGCUGGCGGCAUGCCUUACACAUGCAAGUCGAACGGCAGCAUGAUCUAGCUUGCUAGAUUGAUGGCGAGUGGCGAACGGGUGAGUAAUACAUCGGAACGUGCCCUGUAGUGGGGGAUAACUAGUCGAAAGAUUAGCUAAUACCGCAUACGACCUGAGGGUGAAAGUGGGGGACCGCAAGGCCUCAUGCUAUAGGAGCGGCCGAUGUCUGAUUAGCUAGUUGGUGGGGUAAAGGCCCACCAAGGCGACGAUCAGUAGCUGGUCUGAGAGGACGAUCAGCCACACUGGGACUGAGACACGGCCCAGACUCCUACGGGAGGCAGCAGUGGGGAAUUUUGGACAAUGGGCGAAAGCCUGAUCCAGCAAUGCCGCGUGUGUGAAGAAGGCC